AGACAUGGUGGUCGACGACGUCGCCGUUGCUGCCGUCGACGGCGCCGCAGCAGUUCACCCCGCUCAUGUUGUCCA
rnacentral:tRNA from 2 species